rnacentral:rRNA from 1 species
CAAUAGCGUAUAUUAAAAUUGUUGCGGUUAAAACGCUCGUAGUUGGAUAUCUGUGAGCGGGUUCCGGUCCUUCCCAGUGAAGAUUACACGGAACUCUGCUCGCAUUUGUUCAGGGAGGGUGGAUGCACUUCACUGUGUGACCACAUGAUCUGAAUUUUUACUUUGAGGAAAUGAGAGUGUUCCAAGCAGGCAUCCGCCUUGAAUACGUUAGCAUGGAAUAAUAAGAUAGGAUUACGGUCCGUUUUUAUUGGUUUAGCGGCCGUGAUAAUGAUUAAUAGGAACAGUCGGGGGCAUUUGUAUUUAACUGUCAGAGGUGAAAUUCUUGGAUUUGUUAAAGACAAACUACUGCGAAAGCAUUUGCCAAGGAUGUUUUCAUUGA